ACGCUUGCUUUAUACAAGUGCUGGAGCUGCUAUUGCAUUUUGAGCAUCGAGCAGCCGCGGUACCCCAAUUCUCGGGCCUCACCAAACGCAGAAAACACACAUUAUAUACUGCAUUCGUGUCAGUAAUACAAUGGCAAAGAACCUGUCAAUCUCCGUUCAGCUGCUUCUCGUCCUCUUCGUUUUACUCGCUUUUGCCAGCGGCAUCCUCGCACAAGGUGGACCAAGCACCUGCACGGACAAUCCUGUGCAGCAAGAUUGCCCGCCAAUCCCUGGUAGAGGGAACUAAUAAUUAAUUAAUGUUGCCACCGGAUCCAUGCAUGGAUGGACGAUGCGGAGAAAUAUAUAAUUGAUCACGUGCCAUAUAGUAGUAUUUCUACGCAGCAAGUUUACUACGGAGUACUUUCUCAGUCAAUAAAACCCAUUUCUGGAUUUGAAUAUAGAUAUAGUGUUGAUGUGUUUUUGCCGUGCGUUGCUUGUAAUGAUUUGCUUUACCAAUAUAAAUAAUAUAACGGACAGUAUAACUGCCCGAGGAGAUAUUGUAUCCGGUAAUAAGUAAAUGUAUAUUCACCAUCUGGUGUCCAACACCGCCAAGUUAUAUAUUCA